GACAGAGGGUGCAAACGUUGUUCGGAUUUACUGGGCGUAAAGCGCGUGUAGGCGGCUUCGUAAGUUGGAUGUGAAAUCCCACGGCUCAACCGUGGACGUGCAUCCAAAACUACGUCGCUGGAGUCUCGGAGAGGAAGGUGGAAUGCUUGGUGUAGAGGUGAAAUUCGUAGAUAUCAAGCAGAACACCUGCGGCGAAGGCGGCCUUCUAGACGAUGACUGACGCUGAGACGCGAAAGCGUGGGGAGCAAACAGG
rnacentral:rRNA from 1 species